UUGAUACUCCCUCCAUCCGAAAUUCCUUGUCAGAGAAAUGGAUGUAUCUAGACUUAUUUUAGUUCUACAUACAUCCAUUUUUAUCAAUUUAUGUGACAAGUAAUUUCAGAUGGAGGCAGUAUUGU
rfam:Triticum aestivum genome assembly, contig: Triticum_aestivum_CS42_TGACv1_scaffold_640731_T_2AS-0.191845_2AL-0.187398